rnacentral:rRNA from 1 species
GAUGAACGCUAGCUACAGGCUUAACACAUGCAAGUCGAGGGACCGGCGCACGGGUGAGUAACACGUAUCCAACCUGCCCUUUACUCUGGGAUAGCCUUUCGAAAGAAAGAUUAAUACCCGAUGUAAAGGAUGGGGAGGCGUUCCAUUAGGUUGUUGGUGAGGUAACGGCUCACCAAGCCUUCGAUGGAUAGGGGUUCUGAGAGGAAGGUCCACCACAUUGGAACUGAGACACGGUCCAAACUCCUACGGGAGGCAGCAGAGAGGAAUAUUGGGGAAGAAACGCAAGUGGUGACCAGCCAAGUAGCGUGCAGGAUGACGGCCUAUGGGUUGUAAAGUGCUUGUAUAUGGGGAUAGGUACCAUAUGAAUAAGGACCGGCUAAUUCCGUGCCAGCAGCCGCGGUAAUAC